CCAGACUCCUACGGGAGGCAGCAGUGGGGGAUAUUGGACAAUGGGGGAAACCCUGAUCCAGCGAUGCCGCGUGAGGGAAGAAGGUUUUCGGAUUGUAAACCUCUGUGGACAGGGACGAUAAUGACGGUACCUGUCAAGAAAGCCACGGCUAACUACGUGCCAGCAGCCGCGGUAAUACGGAGGAUGCGAGCGUUAUCCGGAUUUAUUGGGUUUAAAGGGUGCGUAGGCGGAAUGCCAAGUCAGCGGUAAAAUCGCGGGGCUCACCCUCGCUCCGCCGUUGAAACUGGCGUUCUUGAGUGGGCGAGAAGUAUGCGGAAUGCGUGGUGUAGCGGUGAAAUGCAUAGAUAUCACGCAGAACUCCGAUUGCGAAGGCAGCAUACCGGCGCCCAACUGACGCUGAAGCACGAAAGCGUGGGUAUCGAACAGGAUUAGAUACCCGGGUAG
rnacentral:rRNA from 1 species